rnacentral:misc_RNA from 1 species
AGCAGCCGCGGUAAUUCCAGCUCCAAUAGCGUAUAUUAAAGUUGUUGUGGUUAAAAGCUCGUAGUGGAACCUUGGGCCUGGCUGGCCGGUCCGCCUCACCGCGUGCACUGGUCCGGCCGGGCCUUUCCCUCUGUGGAACCGCAUGCCCUUCACUGGGUGUGCCGGGGAAACAGGACUUUUACUUUGAAAAAUUAGAGUGCUCCAGGCAGGCCUAUGCUCGAAUACAUUAGCAUGGAAUAAUAGAAUGGGACGUGUGGUUCUAUUUUGUUGGUUUCUAGGACCGCCGUAAUGAUUAAUAGGGACAGUCGGGGGCAUCAGUAUUCAAUUGUCAGAGGUGAAAUUCUUGGAUUUAUUGAAGACUAACUACUGCGAAAGCAUCUGCCAAGGACGUUUUCAUUUAUCAGGAACGAAAGUUAGGGAUCGAAGACGAUCAGAUACCGUCGUAGUCUUAACCAUAAACUAUGCCGACUAGGGAUCGGACGAUGUUAUUUUUGACUUCGUUCGGUCACCUUACGGGAAA